UGGGGAAUAUUGGACAAUGGGGGCAACCCUGAUCCAGCAAUGCCGCGUGUGUGAAGAAGGCCUUCGGGUUGUAAAGCACUUUAGGAUGGGAAGAAGUUUUAUUGUUUAAGAGAUGAUAACGUUGACGGUACCAUCAGAAUAAGCACCGGCUAACUCUGUGCCAGCAGCCGCGGUAAUACAGAGGGUGCAAGCGUUAAUCGGAGUUACUGGGCGUAAAGGGCGCGUAGGUGGUUGAGUAAGUUGUUUGUGAAAUCCCCGGGCUUAACCUGGGAACUGCAAGCAAAACUGCUUAACUGGAGUACUGUAGAGGGUAGUGGAAUUUCCGGUGUAGCGGUGAAAUGCGUAGAGAUCGGAAGGAACACCAGUGGCGAAGGCGGCUACCUGGACAGAUACUGACACUGAGGCGCGAGAGCGUGGGGAGCAAACAGG
rnacentral:rRNA from 1 species